rnacentral:rRNA from 1 species
GCAAGUCGAGCGCACCUUCGGGUGAGCGGCGGACGGGUUAGUAACGCGUGGGAAUGUACCCUUUUCUAAGGAAUAGCCUCGGGAAACUGAGAGUAAUACCUUAUACGCCCUUCGGGGGAAAGAUUUAUCGGAGAAGGAUCAGCCCGCGUCUGAUUAGAUAGUUGGUGGGGUAACGGCCUACCAAGCCGACGAUCCAUAGCUGGUUUGAGAGGAUGAUC